CGAAACCCAAAACCCUCCCACCAAAUUUCAAUGACGCCGUCGAAACCCCCUGGCAAGCGCCGCCGUUCGGCUCCACCUCCGCGCUUGCCCUCACCCGCUCCACCCGUGGCGCUCUCGCCGCCGGGCUUCGUCGCCGACCGCGCCGAGGCCGCGGCGCGCGUGGAGCGCCUCCUGCGGUACCAGUUCUGCGACCGCGCCCUUCUAGAGGAGGCCCUGACCCACCAAUCCUUCUCGGAUGGCGCUCUCUCUUACCAGCGGCUCGAGUUCGUCGGCGACGCCGCUCUCGGCCUAGCCUUCUCUAACUUCCUAUACCUCACCAACCCCACCCUCGGGCCCGGCGCGCUCUCCACGCUCCGCGCCGCCAACAUCUCUACCGAGAAGCUCGCGCGCGUCGCCGUCCGGCACGACCUCUACCCGCUGCUCCGGCGCAAGUGCCCCCGCCUCGACCUACUAGUAGGCCAGUUCAUUGAGUCAGUGAAGCAAGAACUAAUGCAUGACCUUGCCACUGCACCGUAUGGUGGUAGCGUGGUUAAAGCUCCCAAGGUGCUUGCAGAUAUUGUUGAGGCCAUCGCUGCUGCAGUCUACGUUGAUUGCAAAUUUGACCUUGAGAAGCUUUGGAAGGUUACAAGGUGGCUCUUUGAGCCAAUUAUCACAGCAGAAACAAUAGAUGAGCAACCUGUGACUACAUUGCAUGAGUUAUGCCAAAAACAUGGCAAAGUUGCACAGUUCAAGACAUGGCAGAAGGAUGGGAUGAUCGUGGUAAAUGUAUUUGUUGGUGGGGAGAUGGUUGGACUUGGUUCCUCGGAGCAGAAGGUAAUUGCUAAGCUGAAUGCUGCACGAGAUGCACUGGGCAAGCUUAUUGGUGGUGCAAAGCAGCAAGUGUUGAUCAAUUGUGCCGCCAAUGGAUUGGUGGAUGACAUUGCAGAGCUUAGGGAGUGUAAACAGAAACUUAUUGAGCAGUGCAUCAGAAAACAUUGGCCAAAACCUAUCUUUAAGGGAGGGAGUCAGCCGGCUAGGGAUAGCUACCGCUUCUUCCAGACACGGUGCCAGCCUGCCAGGGUGUGGCCGGCUCUGGGCCUCACUGGGCCCUCAUUCUUUAGCCAUGGAUCGACCCAUGACAUCACUCCAUUUUUUGCUGGUUCCAUUGGAAGGAUGAGCCAUAUUGGUAAGUCCUUUGUGUGCACACUGAGGCGGCCUACCACCAUGGCUGAGGUGGAUAUGCCUCGUCCUGCCGAUGAUGAGGUGGAAGAUGUAGUGUAAGGAGCUGAUGCAGCCGUGGAAAAACUUGUUUGCUGUUGAGGUUAUGACAUUGCAGUGGACGAAUGGAGUUCCUGGGGCAUCAAUGAUGGUAUGGGAACACCUGCUUCUAGUGGUAGCAUUUGCAUGGUUAGGAGGUGGGGGAAGGGGGGUGCGGUGGGAGGGGCAAGUGACGUAUGUAGCCUGCCACUCAGGCAUAUGGUGCCACUGUGGGUUGGUGUAAUAGUGAGGCCGAGGAAGAUGCUGUCAUGGUAGUAGUUGGAUGGUGAGAUGACUGGCCAUCCUGUCUCUGUUGAGGUCGAUGGAGAUGUCGUCGAUGCUGAGGAACCAGCAUCCAGCAUCGUCGAAGAAGACCCUGUUGACAGUGUGUACGAUGCGUUGUGGCCACACCUCUGCCAUCCUUAUGCUUGCUGGCUGGGUGUGUGGUAGCAUAGUUGCUAGUUGCUGUUUGUGGCAUGGAGGCCAGGGUGCAAAGGUUCUUGAACUGACCCACACAUAGCAGGGAUUCCACCAAGUUUUGGAACAGGGUUGAUGAAGCAUAGCGCUGGCAUGUCCUAGACGGCUUGCCUGAUUUGCUCAAAGAUUGUGAGGCGGGGGUAGAUUGUGUUGAAGGCGUUGCUCCUGCUGGUGGCGGUGCAGCCGUUGGAGAAGCUCAGAGGCGUGCCUGGUUUCAUGCAGGUGGUUGUGGAGGUGCCUGGUGCUGCUGACCUGCUGUAGUUUGGUGCUGCUGACCUGCUGUAGGGGUGUUUGGUGCUGCUGCUAGGUGUGCGCGAUGGAGCUGAUGUGGGGGUGCCUGGUGGUGGUAUAGCUCUGUCGAGGUUUGUGCAGGAGGUGGUGGGGCCAUAGCUGGUAGAGCGAGUAUUGAUCUUGGAGCUGAAUGUUGGUAGACUCCCAUGACGUUCACUGUCCUAUCAUUUCGCCAGAAUCUCAUCGCAUGAGGUGGUGGGGCUGAGAGAAGCCAACCAUGGUGUGCCGAGGAUGACAUCGGUGUCGUUGCUGAGGGUCGCCAGGAAGGCACUGGAAGGUCUUGUUGCUGUUGCGAAGCAGGAUGCUGAAGGAGGCUCCCCAACAGGGGGACAUGACUAGCUGCCAUUGUCGACGUGAUUCUCAACCAGUGAACUUCAAGGGAGUCUACGAUAGCCCUGUCGACGUGAUUCUCAACCAGUCAUGUGAUCCUCCCAUGAUCCUAGUGAAUUGGCGUUCUCGUCUCUAACCGUGGUUGUCUCCUUGCCCGCCGAUCCGUUCGAGACUCCCCAAGAACGCACGCUGCUCGUGGGCAAGCCAUUUCCCUAUCGUGUCCAUAUAUCUAGGUUGACACGAUCCAUAUUGCUGGUCCUCAUGCUAGCUCUUAGUUCGAGUCCGAUGUUGUUGCUGAUGUUGUAGAUGGAGGACGUGUGAGUGCUCAUCGAUAUGCCCUGUCGGAUCAUUUUCAUGCUAUGGUUGUCUGUGGGAAGCUAGUGAUUAUUUGUCUUUGUAGAGGCUUUGACUUUUGGUUCCUUCCAUGGCUUCAACCAUGUCCACCUCAAGUUUAGCUACUUUGGUGACUAAAAGGGCAAUCAUUUACAUGAGCUACUUGAUUUCUGUUCCAGUCACAACAUCUACAUUGUGAUGUUGCCUUGACUACGGGGGAUGUUUUAGUCUUCGACUUCUCCAGAUUAGAAAAAGAAGGUGGCCCUGCACAUGAAAGGAACUUUGUGUGUUCUGUUCAGGUAGAUACCCAAACUGGCACUUUUGUAACCAUAGGUGAAUCUAUGUCAAGAGUUAAGGAUGCAGAGAAUUCGGCUGCGCAUAAGAUGGUCGAACUAUUGUUGAAAUUGUGAGAUAUAUUCAUGUACAUGGCUAGAUCUUUGGUAUACCUCUUUCGAGAAACAAUUUGUUCAAGGAUACCUAUUAUGGUAGCUUUGUCAUUACAUGGAUAGAUCUUUAGCCCUCUCGAGAAACAAUUUGUUCAAGUACACCUAUUAUGGUAGCUUUGUCAUAGUGUGGGUCAUGUCAUCUAGUUAAUACGGUUUAUAAUUGAGCAUUUAUCUCAAAUCAUGUCUUUUUAUAAUGCAUGAUUCUAGACAACUUAGUUUUAGAAUAGGGUAAGGAGACGGGUUUAACUAUCAAAACCAAUGCCUAUAUAGUUAUUGUUUUGUACUGUCCUGUUUUACAUUAAUAUUAUAUAAAAUAUCAUGAAGCGUGGAAUA